AGUUGGGCACUCUAAGUUGACUGCCGGUGACAAACCGGAGGAAGGUGGGGAUGACGUCAAAUCAUCAUGCCCCUUAUGAUUUGGGCUACACACGUGCUACAAUGGACAAUACAAAGGGCAGCGAAACCGCGAGGUCAAGCAAAUCCCAUAAAGUUGUUCUCAGUUCGGAUUGUAGUCUGCAACUCGACUACAUGAAGCUGGAAUCGCUAGUAAUCGUAGAUCAGCAUGCUACGGUGAAUACGUUCCCGGGUCUUGUACACACCGCCCGUCACACCACGAGAGUUUGUAACACCCGAAGCCGGUGGAGUAACCUUUUAGGAGCUAGCCGUCGAAGGUGGGACAAAUGAUUGGGGUGAAGUCGUAACAAGGUAGCCGUAUCGGAAGGUGCGGCUGGAUCACCUCCUUU
rnacentral:rRNA from 1 species